UAUAUCAUUGGGAAAAGCUACUUCCUUUACACAAGCUUUGCCGCCGCUCGCUCGUCUCCUUCUUGAGCCUGAGAUCGGAAGCCUAGCAGAGUUUCAACGUAAAUGGCGCCAAAGAAGGAGAAAGCUCCGCCUCCGGCUUCCAAGCCGGCGAAAUCCGGCGGAGGAAAGCAGAAGAAGAAGAAGUGGAGCAAGGGGAAACAAAAGGAGAAGGUGAACAAUGCUGUUCU